AGAGGGGUGCUAACGUUGUUCGGAAUUACUGGGCAUAAAGCGCGCGUAGGGCGGUUUUGUAAGUGUGGGAGUGAAAGCCCACGGGCUCAACCGUGGAAUUGCUUUGCAUACUGCAGGACUCGAGGACGGUAGGGGAGAGCGGAACUCCUGGUGGAGCGGUGAAAUGCGUAGAUAUCAGGAGGAACACCGGUGGCGAAGGCGGCUCUCUGGUCCGUUUCUGACGCUGAGGUGCGAAAGCCAGGGUAGCGAACGGGAUUAGAUACCCCGGUAGUCCUGGCCGUAAACGAUGGGCACUAACUAGAGGGCUCCCUGUGGGUUCUCUGGUGAAGCAAAUGUGAUAAGUGCCCCGCCUGGGGAGUAUGGUCGCAAGGCUA
rnacentral:rRNA from 1 species